rnacentral:rRNA from 1 species
GGUUAAGCGACUAAGCGUACACGGUGGAUGCCCUGGCAGUCAGAGGCGAUGAAGGACGUGCUAAUCUGCGAUAAGCGUCGGUAAGGUGAUAUGAACCGUUAUAACCGGCGAUUUCCGAAUGGGGAAACCCAGUGUGUUUCGACACACUAUCAUUAACUGAAUCCAUAGGUUAAUGAGGCGAACCGGGGGAACUGAAACAUCUAAGUACCCCGAGGAAAAGAAAUCAACCGAGAUUCCCCCAGUAGCGGCGAGCGAACGGGGAGGAGCCCAGAGCCUGAAUCAGUGUGUGUGUUAGUGGAAGCGUCUGGAAAGGCGCGCGAUACAGGGUGACAGCCCCGUACACAAAAAUGCACAUAUUGUGAGCUCGAUGAGUAGGGCGGGACACGUGGUAUCCUGUCUGAAUAUGGGGGGACCAUCCUCCAAGGCUAAAUACUCCUGACUGACCGAUAGUGAACCAGUACCGUGAGGGAAAGGCGAAAAGAACCCCGGCGAGGGGAGUGAAAAAGAACCUGAAACCGUGUACGUACAAGCAGUGGGAGCCUCUUUUAUGGGGUGACUGCGUACCUUUUGUAUAAUGGGUCAGCGACUUAUAUUCUGUAGCAAGGUUAACCGAAUAGGGGAGCCGAAGGGAAACCGAGUCUUAACUGGGCGUUAAGUUGCAGGGUAUAGACCCGAAACCCGGUGAUCUAGCCAUGGGCAGGUUGAAGGUUGGGUAACACUAACUGGAGGACCGAACCGACUAAUGUUGAAAAAUUAGCGGAUGACUUGUGGCUGGGGGUGAAAGGCCAAUCAAACCGGGAGAUAGCUGGUUCUCCCCGAAAGCUAUUUAGGUAGCGCCUCGUGAAUUCAUCUCCGGGGGUAGAGCACUGUUUCGGCAAGGGGGUCAUCCCGACUUACCAACCCGAUGCAAACUGCGAAUACCGGAGAAUGUUAUCACGGGAGACACACGGCGGGUGCUAACGUCCGUCGUGAAGAGGGAAACAACCCAGACCGCCAGCUAAGGUCCCAAAGUCAUGUUAAGUGGGAAACGAUGUGGGAAGGCCCAGACAGCCAGGAUGUUGGCUUAGAAGCAGCCAUCAUUUAAAGAAAGCGUAAUAGCUCACUGGUCGAGUCGGCCUGCGCGGAAGAUGUAACGGGGCUAAACCAUGCACCGAAGCUGCGGCAGCGACACUAUGUGUUGUUGGGUAGGGGAGCGUUCUGUAAGCCUGUGAAGGUGUGCUGUGAGGCAUGCUGGAGGUAUCAGAAGUGCGAAUGCUGACAUAAGUAACGAUAAAGCGGGUGAAAAGCCCGCUCGCCGGAAGACCAAGGGUUCCUGUCCAACGUUAAUCGGGGCAGGGUGAGUCGACCCCUAAGGCGAGGCCGAAAGGCGUAGUCGAUGGGAAACAGGUUAAUAUUCCUGUACUUGGUGUUACUGCGAAGGGGGGACGGAGAAGGCUAUGUUGGCCGGGCGACGGUUGUCCCGGUUUAAGCGUGUAGGCUGGUUUUCCAGGCAAAUCCGGAAAAUCAAGGCUGAGGCGUGAUGACGAGGCACUACGGUGCUGAAGCAACAAAUGCCCUGCUUCCAGGAAAAGCCUCUAAGCAUCAGGUAACAUCAAAUCGUACCCCAAACCGACACAGGUGGUCAGGUAGAGAAUACCAAGGCGCUUGAGAGAACUCGGGUGAAGGAACUAGGCAAAAUGGUGCCGUAACUUCGGGAGAAGGCACGCUGAUAUGUAGGUGAAGUCCCUCGCGGAUGGAGCUGAAAUCAGUCGAAGAUACCAGCUGGCUGCAACUGUUUAUUAAAAACACAGCACUGUGCAAACACGAAAGUGGACGUAUACGGUGUGACGCCUGCCCGGUGCCGGAAGGUUAAUUGAUGGGGUCAGCGCAAGCGAAGCUCUUGAUCGAAGCCCCGGUAAACGGCGGCCGUAACUAUAACGGUCCUAAGGUAGCGAAAUUCCUUGUCGGGUAAGUUCCGACCUGCACGAAUGGCGUAAUGAUGGCCAGGCUGUCUCCACCCGAGACUCAGUGAAAUUGAACUCGCUGUGAAGAUGCAGUGUACCCGCGGCAAGACGGAAAGACCCCGUGAACCUUUACUAUAGCUUGACACUGAACAUUGAGCCUUGAUGUGUAGGAUAGGUGGGAGGCUUAGAAGUGUGGACGCCAGUCUGCAUGGAGCCGACCUUGAAAUACCACCCUUUAAUGUUUGAUGUUCUAACGUGGACCCGUGAUCCGGGUUGCGGACAGUGUCUGGUGGGUAGUUUGACUGGGGCGGUCUCCUCCUAAAGAGUAACGGAGGAGCACGAAGGUUGGCUAAUCCUGGUCGGACAUCAGGAGGUUAGUGCAAUGGCAUAAGCCAGCUUGACUGCGAGCGUGACGGCGCGAGCAGGUGCGAAAGCAGGUCAUAGUGAUCCGGUGGUUCUGAAUGGAAGGGCCAUCGCUCAACGGAUAAAAGGUACUCCGGGGAUAACAGGCUGAUACCGCCCAAGAGUUCAUAUCGACGGCGGUGUUUGGCACCUCGAUGUCGGCUCAUCACAUCCUGGGGCUGAAGUAGGUCCCAAGGGUAUGGCUGUUCGCCAUUUAAAGUGGUACGCGAGCUGGGUUUAGAACGUCGUGAGACAGUUCGGUCCCUAUCUGCCGUGGGCGCUGGAGAACUGAGGGGGGCUGCUCCUAGUACGAGAGGACCGGAGUGGACGCAUCACUGGUGUUCGGGUUGUCAUGCCAAUGGCACUGCCCGGUAGCUAAAUGCGGAAGAGAUAAGUGCUGAAAGCAUCUAAGCACGAAACUUGCCCCGAGAUGAGUUCUCCCUGACCCUUUAAGGGUCCUGAAGGAACGUUGAAGACGACGACGUUGAUAGGCCGGGUGUGUAAGCGCAGCGAUGCGUUGAGCUAACCGGUACUAAUGAACCGUGAGGCUUAACCUU